CAAAAUUUAAUAUGUGCAAAGAAAUUGUCAUUCAUUACUCUUUAUUUGCAGAACAUUUUGCCAAUACACUAAAAAACUCUUAAAGCAACCAUGCAUAAUAAAGGCAGUCACCUACAACAUCCAGUUAUUAAAAAAAAACUCAGAAACAAACCUCCACACAUAGACGACUCCCUACACAGUGUAACAAAAUAGGGGGAGGACUUAAUUUGGAGGAGAAGCCAUUUGUUUUGCUCUCUAUCCUGAAUUUACACACAAUGGUCAAAGAGAACCCAAGGCAGUGUACAUUUGUAAAUUCAGUUUCUUUUGAAGAGUUGGCGACUUUUCAAAAUGGAGUCCCACAUCUUGGGGAUCGUGGCGAGCUUUCCCUAUUUCCCCUCACCUGCCUUUAUUUAUCUUCACUUGCAUAUUAACAUGGCGGAAAGUCAUAUUGCAAGGUACUCCAGAUUGCGGUAUUUCACAGCAAAAACUUGCAAACACAGUAAACGAACGUGAUUAAAAUGAGAGGAUUUCGACGUAAGACAGGUAACAAUAAUGUGGACUAAGCAUGGAUAACAAUAAGCAAAAUCUAAGUUAAAAUAUUUUAAAAUGUACAGAAUGUCUAUGAUACAGUACAACUUGGAAUCCUUGACGUUGAUGCUUCGUGACAAUGUUAAGGUCGCUGGAGCCCAGGGGAGGGAUGCAAUGGCAAUCUGAGAAAAUUCUGACAUUUAUCAGUAAAUCCAAAGCACAAGAUGAUUCGGUUAAAAGAAGAAGAUGAUGAUGAUUCGGUAAAUGACCAAGUAUUUUUCUUGCUUCUGUUUUUUGCAAGUGAGGAGUGACAUUUAGCAUUUAUUUGGUUUUACGUUUCCAAAACAAGUAUAAUGAUAAAAUUCUUUCUAAUACAGUAUCUUACUGUAAGUUUCAAGACCAACUAGUCUGCUAGAAUGAAUUCUACAAGAGUAUCAUUUCCCAUGGACUGGAUGCAGAUCCCUGACAGUCAGGGACAGAUCUCAAAAAUACAGAGUGCCUGGAAAGAAUCAUACCCUCUUUCUCCAUCAUUAACUGGUAAAUGUCAGCAUUUAAGAAGGGCAAGGUUUGACAUGUCCAGGAUGAUUUAAGAAAUGAAAUGAUUUUCAUACGAUAUCCCCCUGUACCUUAAUCAUCCCCGUAGAUGAGCUACUGCUAUGAAACUCUGAGAAACGCCAUGCACUAUAGCAAUUUUCUUUGAAUUACAGGAUGCUUUUAUUGGCAAUUUAUAAAAUGUAACCUCUCAAUAGUCAAAAAGCUUAGCAUAACGCAUUCGUGGAAGGUAAUAUACCCCACAGAGACGGUCCAGCGUGCUCACCCAACCCUCCGUACUGUUCACAAAACAUCCCGUGCACCCACUAAGCCCAGUUCCCCACUAAUAUUGUUGCUCUCUAGUCUACAUUACAAAUGACAGCCCAACUGUUUUGCAUCUUUAUGCAGAAGCGAAGUCCCGCUGCAGUCCGAGAAGCGAUUUCAGCAUUGCAGGCUUAAAAGUACUCAAAAGUGUUAGCAUACGUGUUGGAGUGAAAGGUUGCAGCAUUCAUCAUCCCAUACCUUUGAUUUAGUCUCAGAAUAGCCCAUAAUAUUUGCUUUUAAAACCAUACCAACCAACCAACCAACCAACCAACCAACCAACCAACCACAAUUGCUUAUUGAUCAAGAGCUGCUUCCUUUAUUAACAUUUAUUUGGGACUUGUGUGGAGGCGAGUCUGUUUUGCCUCUGUGAAGGAUUCUUUGCUCCCCAAAUUAUGUAUUGGGGGGGGGGGUUGGUCCUCUGACCAAGCCAAGAAUCUAAGCCAGCCUUGUAAGUAAGCUCAUAAAAAUCAUUUGCCCACAAGUCCUCUUCACUACCAGCCACUGAGCAGGCUGGGAAACUAAACAACAACAACAACAACCACAACCACAACAACCACAACCCUGCUUUCUAUUAAGCAUCCUGGUUGAUGUGGGGAAGGAGGGUCUGUCCAUCUUCUACCAUUUGCCUCCUGUGCUGUUAUGAAGAGGGAUUUCCUUCCUUUAAGGCUAGAAUGGAGUCCAACAAGGCUGGUACAGGAGAACUGGCCUGAGCCCACUCACUCGCCUGCAUGGCAUUCCUGCUCGCCUGUGGCGACCAAGCGAGCUGUUAAAACACAAGGCUGAUCUCGGUGCAGUCCUAAAACGUGUUUACUUGGAAGUAAGGCCUUCUGAUUUCAAGGGGGUUUUACUCCCUUGCUAUUUUGCAUAGGAUUGCAGCCUAUAUAAAAACAUUUGUAUGAUUUUUUUCAAGAGCCCACACAGAGACCAAGGAAAAUAAAAGCGCUGCAGCAUGCUGAACUAUCGUGGCAGAGGUUGCUAAUACAAAAAACUAAAGCCCACACAUGCCAGUACAUUCGGGAAUAAGGUAAGCUCCCUCAAUAUUCAUGACGCAGCUAUAUCGCUUAUUCUUAGACUCUAGUUCCCAUCAGCUCCAGCAAGCAUGGCCAGCGCUCAGGGAUUAUGGGAAUUGUAGCACCAGUAGCACCAUUUGCAGGGAGUGUCUGCAUCCCAAACUCAAUUAAUAGGAACCUGUUCUCAGUAAUGUAUUUUAUUUUUGCCAGAUUUCAGCAGAACCUGUUAACCUAUGUCUCAAUCUCACAAAUCAGCUGAUAACUGUUAAGCAGAGUGCUCUUUCGCAUGCUUCCCAUUGCAGGCUUGGAGAUUUCCAGUUCAGGUGAUGUACUAUCUAGUUUUGUGAUUCUAUAACUGUGACUUUCUUCAGCCGUCAAACAAACCCAAAUACGCUGAACUGCCCUGCUGCCCAACAUUGUGCGACUCCCCCAAUGCGGUGCAAAAUCCAACGCACAUGUUUCCAGAAAUAUCAUUUUGGAAAAUAAUCCCUUUUUAACUAUGUUAGAAGUGUGGAAAACAACAAACCUUUCUGAUGAUACCCCUCCCUUCCACUUCCAUCUCUGCUAGAGCAAAUCUAUACGAUCAGGUUAAAAAAUGUGAGAGUCUAGAAUUUUUAACCAAACUGAUACCAAGAGGCAACGAACCCCUUUUAAAACACCCUCUUUAAAAUUUGGUGUGGGUCAGAACAAGCAGGAUGGGUGUCCAAAUUCCCUCCCCUCCCCCCAAGUUAAAUAAUGACCAUCUUUCGAAAUAUGCGGGAGGACACAAGCGGGGUGUUUUUUUUACAGACCACCCUGAUUGUCAUUCAUUCUGCCACAGCCCGUUGCUGAAUCUCAUUCAGUCGUUUUGCUUCCAUCUAGUCCGAGAGAGUACAGAAUCACCAUUGAUUUUGGAAGCUAAAGAGAACAACAACUGGGUCAGAACCAAAACAGCAUUAUUUUUAUCUGCCUCUUUUCCCUUUCUUUUGAAGGCAUACACCC
rnacentral:lncRNA from 1 species